GAAGAAAAAUCACACCACCAAAAGUUAAAGACUCUAAGCAAAGAGAGACAUUAAUAACAAUGCCAAUAAUGAAAGGCAGAAUAAACAAGAUGAACUGAAGAACCAAUACAAUAAUAAAGCAUUACAACAGCUUUUUGUACAUGAUAAUCAAACAUUAAUGAACUUCAUUGUCAAUCAUAGCAAAGUAACCAAAUACUGAAAUAAGACAUAGCUAUAGCCAAUAGGCCAAGGUGUUCCUCAGUUUCCACUCUUGAAUGGAAUGGCUCUUAUGAUAACUUGGUGGUAUAAGGCAGCAAGUGCAGCUCCAAUGAAUGGUCCCACCCAGAAAAU
rnacentral:misc_RNA from 1 species